UACGUAUGGUGCAAGCGUUAUCCGGAUUUACUGGGUGUAAAGGGAGCGCAGGCGGUGCGGCAAGUCUGAUGUGAAAGCCCGGGGCUCAACCCCGGUACUGCAUUGGAAACUGUCGUACUAGAGUGUCGGAGGGGUAGGUGGAAUUCCUAGUGUAGCGGUGAAAUGCGUAGAUAUUAGGAGGAACACCAGUGGCGAAGGCGGCUUACUGGACGAUAACUGACGCUGAGGCUCGAAAGCGUGGGGAGCAAACAGG
rnacentral:rRNA from 1 species